UAUUUCUUCGUGAUUAGUGAUUACUCAGCAACUUACAAACAGUACAAGUCAGGGCAUGAUCGGUAUUCUCUCCUAAGGAAUCACUAGACCAAAACAAUGCGCAACUCCCGGACGCGAAAGAAUCAUGAAAAGGUUUGUUUUCAAAGCGCUGACUCUAACAUUGGUCAUAUCGUUAGGUUUGAGCUCAAAUAUCGAAGAUCAUGAUUCUUGCCCACCUCCCAAAUCGUGUCGACCGUUCCGUGAACAAGAAAGAUCCGUGAUCAUUCAUGACUCCAGGGGCAGAUUGGGUAAUCAGAUGUUUGCCUAUUGGCUCUUAUACGCACUCAGGGUCCAAUUUGGUUACCAAUCCUUCAUCAUGAGGAGAACUUUUGAAUAUCUGGAUCCUUAUUUUGAGGGUCUGGAUGUGGCUAUAGCCGAAGACGGGUUGUGCGAUUUUGAAGAGAUUUACAGCACUUUUUGGAAUUCAAUUAGAGAGCACCGCAUGCAAAUCAUUAGGGAGACCAUUUCCAAAAGACUGGGCUACAAAGUUCAAAUGGAACGCGAUGACAAUGGACGGUGGAUAUUACCCCCGGAAGUCGUAGAUGAUCCAUCUGUCCAAUACGAAAGGAUAAUUCACUCUGAAGAUUUCGAAUCUUUAGGCGACGUUAAUCUUCCACCCUCCUCAUUUCCGUGGGAGAUCUUGUCCACCAACACUUCUGUUCAAGUCUUGGCCGAUCCGGAAUUCCAGGUUGGUAGGGCCUUCAUCUUUCAUCCUGAAAAUAUGCGCACCUCCCAAAAAGAUUUCGGCCUUUUAAAUCGAGGCUCAAAUGUUGUCCAAGGAGUUGAACAAGCUUUUACAGUCCGGAGCAAAUUCAUCAAGGCUGCAACUGAGUUCAUGGCCAAGGUCAUCAAUCAAAGACAAAAAUCGAUGAAGCCGAGUAAGCAAAUGAGGUCAUUCACAUUCGUUGGAAUUCAUUCUCGAAGAACUGAUCACAUCAGUUAUGAAGCUGAAAGAGGUUACCGUACUUUGAAGCCCAGCUAUUUUCUUUUAGCCAUGGAUAUGUUUAGGGAAAGGUUCAAACGCAUCAUUUUCUUUUAUGUUAGUGAUGACUAUAACUGGGGUAAGGAUAAUCUUCUACCCCGAAAUCGCAAACGGGAUUUAUUCUUUGGAGAGGAUGGAGUGCCAGAUGAUUUGGACAGUGUUGGGUUCGAUUUGGCUCUCAUGAGCCUGUGCAAUCACACCAUCAUCUCUCAUGGAACUUUUUCUUAUUGGGUUGGGUUCCUCGGAAAUGGAUCAGUCAUCACCCCCAAUCACUUUCCACAAUUCCGUACCAACAUGAUCGUGCCAGAGUAUUACCAAAAACACCCUUUGGAACAUCCUCUUCCAAGACUGUUCCCGUAUUUCUGAAACCCUUUUAGGGUACUCAUGCACUCAUUGUCUGUGAUAAGGAGGGCUACUCAAAAAUGCUAUCAAAAUUGACCAAAAUGCGAACAAGAAUGCAAGCAUUGCAGAUAGUUUUAGCUCAUUUUACUUUUCAUGAGAAUCACAAACAAAAAGGACAGCAAACAAAUAUAUAGAAAUGCCUUGAAAAUGGGUACACCUUCUUUCGCUAAAAGCACUCUAUUUUACUAAAAGAUUAUAGCAUGUUAUAUUUCGUAUCUAAGGCAGUUAUAUGCCUUGGCUAUCACAGAAAUUUAUUAUUUAUGUUUAAAAAGAGGUUUGUUUCAAUGAAAUUACCAUUGGUGUUACUUCGAUGAAGAACUCAACUGUAUAAGCUAAACUUGGUGGAAAUUCAAAUAAGUGCAAAUAAACACAAGGAAGCAAAUAAUGCAAGGAAAAAAAUGCAUUUGUUUAUUUUGAGGCGCCUUUAUGACAAGACAAUUAGGAGUAUCUCCUGUAGGAAUCCAUUGAUUGAUUCAACAAGCCGUCGUUGAGCGUGUUCACCUGUGUAUAGAGACAGUGUGCCCCUGGUUGCUCAGCACUAUUUCCCGUCAGAAUCAAAACACUCGGAACAAAUGAAGGGCGUGAAACUUUUAGUUUUGUUACCUUUAACGCUAGCUAGCAACGAAAGUCAGUCCCAUUCUGAAUGUAGGAAACAAGAAUCCCAGUUAACAGAUCAGCAGUCCACAUGUGACCGGACAUGCGUGCCCUUCGAUCCCCAUGCCCCAAGUGUAGUGAUCCGUGACACCCAAGGGCGGUUGGGGAAUCAAAUGUUUGCGUAUUUGCUUCUGCUCUCGCUCAAACUUCAAUUCGGAUAUCAACCUUAUCUAACGAGAAAAGGGUUUGACCAUUUGAGCCCGUAUUUCGAGAAUCUCGACAUGGAAGUGGCGGAGGAUGUCCUGUGCGAUUUUGACGAUGUCUAUCCGAAAUUUAGACUCAUGAUUAAGGAGAAACGCCUGGAAAUGAUCAAACAAGCCAUUUUGGACAAACUCGGAUAUCAUAUUGAGUUGGAGAGGGAUGACCAAGGGCGAUGGAAAUUGCCACCAGAAAUCAUGAACAACCCUGAUUUGAAUC